CGGAGGGUGCAAGCGCUAAUCGGAAUUACUGGGCGUAAAGCGCACGCAGGCGGUUGGAUAAGUUAGAUGUGAAAGCCCCGGGCUCAACCUGGGAAUUGCAUUUAAAACUGUCCAGCUAGAGUCUUGUAGAGGGGGGUAGAAUUCCAGGUGUAGCGGUGAAAUGCGUAGAGAUCUGGAGGAAUACCGGUGGCGAAGGCGGCCCCUGGACAAGACUGACGCUCAGGUGCGAAAGCGUGGGGAGCAAACAGGAUU
rnacentral:rRNA from 1 species